GAUUUACUGUUGGAAAACAUAAUUUGAUGAUUUAUUUAGUUCAAAUGAAAAAGGAAACUCAUACAUAGGUUUUAAGACAAUCUUGAAAUACUCUACUUUGUGUCUUUUGGACGGAUUAAAAACCCAAAUUCUCAAUCUCAAGUAGGUAGGAUAUUUUUAGUUUUAAUUUUUAAUUGUAUUUUUUUAAUUAAAUGCUCUUGUCGUACAAAAGCGAGUGUUAUCGUGAAUAUUAAAAUGAGCCACAUAAAUGAGCAGCGUUUAUCACAUACAAUAAAACACAAUAAAUGUCGAGUAUACUGGGAUCAGCAUUUUUCGUACUUGAACCAAAGUCAGCAGCUUUUGGUGAAUUUUUCAAAAAGAUCUUUUGAUUUUUUGAACCACUCGUCAAAGUGGAUGAAUUUAAUUAGGCCACUCCCUUCAAUUUACUCUUCGCACCAAGUAGGAAAAGUAUCAUGACUGUCGCUGCACUGGAGUCAUUUUUAUGUGCCUGCAUAUUAUCUUUGGCAUUGUCAUUUCUGUCAUUGCCCAAAAAGUUGCAAGUAAAAAAAAAAACAAAACAGUCUAGUGU